CUUGCCAGCAGGGGCCUUAACACCAAAUCUUCGAGUUUGAGAGCGCCCUCUAGUGUUCAUGCCCAUGGCAGUGUUCUCAGUUCUGGAUUUGGGGCUCUUGUAAACACAGCUUCUUGGUGAUGGUGAACUCAAGUCAAAGGGUACCCACUAAUGAAACAAUGAAUGGAACUAAGCGCAUCAGCAGAACAAUCAGUGACAGAAUUUGGACCCUAGAUCCGCAAAAUAGACCAACUC
rnacentral:lncRNA from 1 species